rnacentral:tRNA from 1 species
GGGCCCGUAGCUCAAUGGCAGAGCAAGUGACUCUUAAUCACUGGGUUGAAGGUUCAAGUCCUUCCGGGCUCACCA